CCUGGAGCGCAAUGACGUUGUUCAGCGUGUAUAAAACUCCAGGAGCCAGGAGAGAGAUGAGAAACACGGAGACUUCCACCGGGGGCCUCAUUGUUCAAAACGUAUUGUUUGAAAAGUCCAGAGAGAAAUAUUCCCAGUUAAACGCGGUGACAGGCGGUAGAACCAGAACGAGGCAUGUCAGGAUCCAGUGUCCUCUCCACUGCUGGCAGAGGCAAGGAGACAAUUAUACAGGCGCGUCAGUCGUUGGCUUUUGAUCUGUGAAGAAACAACGCACUUGCUCGCUCCAGCUCUGUCUGCAGGUCUCAAAGUUCAACCCAGGAGUCACGACCACCAGGUGGAAAUUUAAAGGAAACGCAUGGAAACGUUUUGGGUCUUGCGUCAUGCGUAAAUUACGCAUUUGGCUCUGCAUUCUUCAUUUGAUAUCUUGAUUUGAUCUGUUGGCUGAUGUUGAUUUUGAACUUAACGAGAUUUAGUUCCAUAUGUUGCUGACAAACCAUUUGAUUCAUAUAUGUUGAGACUGCAGCUAGUACACACUGCCGCCUGCUGGUGGCAGCUUUCCUCCACUCUUGUCCUCAACUUGUCCUUCUCUUUUUUAGGAUUCCAGGAACAUGAGAUAAGUUGGAAAGGCAAAUAGUUAAUAAUAAAAAAGAAAAAAAAUCUGUGUCAUAUUGCACAGGUUGAAGAGUUUUGUAGGCCCCUGUGGCCCCUGGGGUUCACUUGAGGAGCCAUCUGUCCGUGUCGGUGUAAGAUUAAGAACAGCUAAGUCUAAUGUCUCCAUGCUUGAUUAAAUUCUGGAUUAUAUGCGAGAUGGAACAUAAAGUUCAGAACAAAGAUUAUAUUGUUUCAUUGUUGUCAGGGUGUUUGACUAAAACGGAUCAUUACUGUUACAUUUCUUAAUGCGGUCUCUUUGCGUAAUAUUGGAUCACAUUACUCUAUUUACUGCAGAUCAUCAGCAUUAUGUAACUGCCUCUUAUGGAUGAACAACAUUUGUAAAGCAGGCCUUCAUCUAAUGCAACUUUAUCUUCUGUAACAAAGCGGCUGAAGAGGAUUAUGCUGCUGUUGCCACAGAAACUUAGUGACCAGUGGAAAGAGAGAGUGGAGAGGGGUGGGGAGUUCAAGAAGAGAGUGGAAGCCGACAGAUUCAAUCAGACUUACUGGAAAACCCUUCGCCCACACAGCUGACAGUUUUUUUCAUUUUGACAUUUUCAAGAUUUCCUUCUUCAAGCAUGUUUCACCCUUUAAUCAUCGGCAUCAUGGUUGUAAACUGCUCCCUAACUGUCAUCUACUGGACCUUCCUGCUGGGAGAUGCCUACUUCAAGUGGAUGUUGGAGCCAGAAGACAAACCCACAAAGGUGGUCACCCCGGCCUGAGGGAGUCACUGUCAAUAUGGACCAACUUCACUGAGUGGAUGAAGAACAAGACCCCAAAUGCGAACGUAAAAAAAUUCAUGAAGUGAACGGAUCCUGCAAUAGAAGAGACUGGAAUCCUUCUCACAGAGCCGCCUGUUUACAACAUCUGCUAAUUUGGACGUCCUGUCUAUAUAUGCACAAGUCAACGAAAAAAAAAGCAGAGGAGCCGUUUCGAGUCUUGAUCACAAGGUAGGGACUCGACUUUGUGUCCUAAAUCAUCAGCAUCAUCUCUUCCCCUCCAUAACAUUUGAUUAACUUUCAUAUUUGAAAAGCAGUUGACAGUCUUCCAUAAGUUUAAUUUGAUGAUGUGUAGUUUUCCGACCCCUGGGAACAUUUACUGGUCACAAAGCUCAGAUUGCAGUUUUGCCGUGAAA